rnacentral:tRNA from 1 species
GCUUUAAUAGUAUAACUAUUACCUUGGUCUUGUAAACCAAAAAUGAAGACCUUUAUCUUCUUAAAGCA